rnacentral:lncRNA from 1 species
UAGCGAGGGACGUGAGCUAUCCGAGAUCCCAUCCUAAUGAGGGGGGCUUAUGCUGUCUUCUCUUUCCUUCCGGCCAGAAUCAUCGAAAUCUGAAGGCCUCUGCUGAAUGCUUGGUUGAAGAGGAGCCGGAUUUGGAACUCCGAAACGAAGGGGAACCACGACAGAACCGCGAUCGGCAUGAACAGCAACAACCCCAUUGUGUAUUCGUACGCCCUCGCCAGCUCCUUCAACGAAUCCCAGAGUCCUAACCGUUUAAGCAACGGCCUGCAUGCUUGCCCAAUCUGUCGAGAGCAAGAGAAGAUCGAUCUCGUUAGUUUUGCGGUCCUAUAGAAAGCGCAUGGAGAGGUCACGCAGCUUGAAAAUUUACGCAGGACUAAUCACAACAUGAACGUGAGGAGUGCUUUGUGCAAACUUAGGUAGUUGUGACUUGGGCAAGUCGAGAACAACCCGCUUCAUACAUGAAGCUUUCUUUAAGAUUGCACUAGUCCAGACUUACCAGAAUGAGAGCCCAGCCGGAAGGUAAAAACGCAAGGACGGCAGCAAAUAUAUCAGAUACAAAGAGUCCACACACGACAAAUAGGACUGUCAUAACCGACACGAAUCCGAGGAAAAGAAGUGCUUUCAGGAUCCUAAACAUGAGCUGGAAGUCCGUACUGAAUCUUCGUCCUCCCAUGGAUGCCAUCUGAAAACAUUAAGGCAAUAAUAGUUUGCAAAGCAGAACACGUUCGUUGCAGUUUGAUUUAAAUAAGGUAACAGAAAAGGAGCAGCAAGUUAAAAUGCUCAACUGGACUUUACUCAUAAUAAUGCGUGUGGUUAACAUGCAGAUCUAGGAACAAAACCUCCAUAUAUAAUAUCUGCGUACCUUUAAAACUAGCAGAGUGGUUAGCAACACCACCCAAGAAAUUCCAUAAAUCUACAGAAGUAAAGAAGUGCCUCAGAGAAUGAUCCUGUGAGAACAAAUCAGCAACAGAAGGAGGAAAGAGAAAAUUGCAGUGAAAUUUAUAGAUUACCAGUAUAGUCUUGCUGUGGCGAACUAUCUGAAGAUGGUACACAAUCCCAUACUGGUAAAUAAAGAAGCGAAAUGCAAGUAUUAUCUCAAGGAUUCUUCCCCGUAUGUUUGUAUGCUUCAGAUGUUCCUGUUCUUCCUCCCACCAUGAUUCCCAACUUUUAUCAGGUUGUAUCCCAAUUCCACCACGAUUACCCAUCCACCUCUUCCAGUCUGCCCAAUCAUCUACAGUCUUUUGCCAGUCAAAACCAGAUGGAUUGAAUAUGAACGGUGCAAACAACCAUGAACCAACCAAGAACCACAUGGAGAAAGUGAUGAACAAGUAGAGAUUUGAACUGCGGUACGACUCUCCAUAAACUCCAUAGACAAUCAACAGUAUAAACAGCUCCAGCCCUUUCACAAAGUGACUUCGUGAAUAAAGCCUGUAAUUAUCACCAAAUUUUGCAUGAAAAACGACAAACCCACGACCCGUUGCUCGAUAUCUGGAUCCUCCAUGUAAGAGUGUUCUUCCAUAAAAAUGAGCCUUUGUUCCAAGUUGAAAUGUGAAAAACACAGAAGCUAGCUGCAGUUGCAUAAUGACAAAAUCACUGAGGGCAGUCCAAAACCCUUUUUCCAGGCCAGUUUCCAUGAGCAUGGGCAGCAUCACUACCAAUCCUAACUGAAAGACAGACUGGCUAGCCAAGGCCCCUUCGAGGGCCUUUGUGUGACGUAUGCUAGGAUUCUGAAGGAUCUCGCUUUCCAACCCACUCAUAACCAUGUACAACCGUCCAUACAAGAAAACAUACACCGUAAGCACGGUAACCUGAAUGAAACAAGUCCAAAACGGUAAAAAAGAAAGCUACCAUGAGUAAUCAAUGCAAAAUUCAGAAGAAAAAGAACGAGAUAAAAGUCUUGUUGCCUACCAACCAACAUAAUUCCCCCCUUCCUAUCUCCAUCCAUGGAAUAAAUUACAGCCCAGAAAAUGAAGUACUAUUCCAAAUCUUGGAACUGUUUUAGCCAAACUGAUAUUUCUGUACCAUUUCAUUAACGAAGUAGAAAUGACAUAUUCAUGGAUCACCUGCCAGAACUAGACAUCCAAGGAGGAACUGUGACCCCUUUGUUAAGGGACCACCCAUUAAUUGUACUGACUCUCGGAAAGACAGACUGGAUCUAGAAUUACCCCCAAGAUUCACAAGAUUUAACUGCUUUGAUUACCAAGUAUUUUACCAUGUGACAGGAAACUGCAAUUACAAAUUAUGAACCAAAAGUUCCAUCAUUCUUUUAAUACCAAAUUGGAAAGAACUAGGAGAGUUGCUGCAAGACGAGUAGAGAGAAGUGGUUGAUUUACCAUACUACUGAAGUAGAAACCGACAGUCGUAAAAUAGAAUGACAGCAUUCUGUAGAAGUCAAAUCGCCGCCCGAGCCGAUAAACAUCACGACUAAGCGUCUGCUCACCAUUUCCAUUUGCAACCUUUGCCUCAAAAAGGGAUAUCUGGUUCAUCCCUACAUCUCGCCCUUUUCCCACUUGGAUAUACUCAUGAUGUGUAAUAUAUCCCCCACGGAGAGUUGAAUUAAACCCUGCACCGAGAAAUGGUCAGAUUCUUUCCCUUUGAAAUAUCAUAUAAAUAUGCUAGGGUUACCAGAAAAAAUAUCUUCGCUCAAGUUGAUUAUUUUUGAAGCUUUGCUUAUGCCCCCCCUUGUUAUGUGGAAUAACCUGUCAAAUAUAUCAGGAUGGCCAUAAUGGAAACGGACCCUGCAACAAGAGAAUGAGAAACACAAUUGCCUUUAGAUCAUUAUUGGAACAAUUUGACCUGAACUCUCAGUUAUUGAAUCAGAGUCUCGCUGUGAAUGCAGAGAUAAAUUAUUGCUUGAAGUGUGAGAGCACAAAGAAAUGGAUUAGUGGUUACCACAAACAUCAGAUUGGUACAUAGUAUAAAACUCAGACUCUAUACAUACCUAUUUUCUUCCUUCUUUCUUUUGUUUAAGAUUUUAACAAGGAACCUAUGCUUUUCCUUCCUUCUUUCUUUUGUUUAAGUUACUAACAAGGAGUCAGGAACAUUAGUCCAUUAACUUCACGCUUUCCAGGAUACUUCCGUAGCCAAUUUUUGCAUUGAUUAGCCUCCUGAUAUAUCUUAUCAUGCCCUUAAAAUACAGGUUCCAAUAGCUCCUACACUUAAGUUCUUAAGGGUACAAAGAAUGUUGUACAACAGAAUCAAUCCCACCUAAAUGCUACAAAAGCAUUGAGAAAGAGAGAUUAUUUAAUCUACUAGAAAUAAAGAAAGGUGAAGAUUUUAAGUGACAUUUACUAAAAUAAUGGUGAAGUGUUUGUUAGAUUAAUGGUCAUACAGUACAAUGUUCACCAUUAUAUCCCACAAAAGCAACCCUGACAUUAGAGUUAUGCAGGAUGCUAUACGAUACAAGAAAAAGUCCACAUGUCCAUAUGCACUCAUUCUACAAUGUGAAUCUCGCUUUAAAUCAGAAAACUCUUUGCUUCACAUGCAUAGAUAAUAAACGAUUCCUUCCAUAUUGAAAUGGCUGCCACUACUUACUUCUGAAUAUGUAUUUAGCUGCAUUACAGUCCUUAAUUGAUUGUUGUAAGUAAUGACUCAUAUUCAAUAGGGCUAAAUAAUAAGAUUCGUCAACUUUAUCAAUAUAUAUGAGACUUCUUUCCUGUGCAUGGCAGUGGCAAAAGAUAAUCUGCAAGCAAUUCUAGAAAUUUUCUCGUAAGAGCCUAAAAAGAAGAUAGUUCAUUUGCUUUUUGAGAAAAAUAAUGUACUUAUCAAAUUGGAAGGGUCAAAUAUUAUUCGAACCACCAGAAGAGUAAAAGAAAAUUUUCAUUUUCUAGUUGCUAGAGACACCGAUAUCAUACAGUAAUUUUCGUUUAAAGAUGUUGAAUUUACAAUACAAUCAUGCAAAUCACCAAACCUACCAUAUUGAAACUCCAUAUUUGCUAAAAUUAUACUCGCAGACAGUGGCUCAAAACAAUCCAAAAAACUAAAGAUUUAUAAUCAUAUAUUAUUCCCAUCGUUUUCAAUGACCAGGCUUCUGAUCCAAACGUUCUUUCUGCUAGACUAAUGCAAUGCCCUAGCUGCAAUUGUGGAAGUCUGUGGAAGUUUUGAGCUUCUCUAAGAAACAAAGAAGAAUUCGCACAAGUCCACUGAGAUGUCUCUCUCAUCAGCAAAUGAAGUAAAUAUGUAAGGCCAUCGAAAAGAGUAUGUGAAUGUUCAUGUUCAGGCACAAGAAGGAGCAAAUGACAUAGUCCCACGCAAAAAUUCAGGUUUCAUGAGAAAAUCUGCCUUUCGCCCAAAGAUAGAUCUUAAGAAAAGAAAAAUCAAUGUGUCCGGAGUGCAGACUCCGGUGACUACAAAGAUUGAGUUGACAGAAAUGCAUGAAGCCACAAAUUCUUGGCUUACCUUAGGGGAUUUGCCAAGAUUCGCUGGCCGAUAGUGACAAAGCUGGUCUCCUGAUUGGACAUGAACCAAGCUAGCGAUGAAACACUGUAAAAAAAGUUAAAAAAAUAAUGAUCUAACCAUUCGCAUUGGAUGAAUCAGCUCUGAUCUCUUUCAUACCAGAUCCUUUGAACUGGAUAAAGCAGCCAAUAACAGAAUAUUUCUGCACAUAUAGGUAUUCCAGGGUUCACCUUCCGGUAAAAAUGUGCUCCCGCAGGCCCAAAAUAGUAGGUUUUCUCGGCCCGGGACGAUCCCUUUGGAAUUCCUCCAAUACAUUUCUCAUCUUGAAAGCUUCUUCAAAGUAGUUAUCCUAGAAGUAAGGAAAGGAAAAACGAAAAAAUCUGAGAUAAUUCAUCCUCCUGCAUAUUCCAUGAAAAGACUAACAAAGCUACCUGAUUCAUGUCUAUAGUCUGCAGUGCCUCCCCACGAGUAAAGAUGAUAGCAUGAUUUUGAUUUUCUGGUUUUCCUCCACCAAUUUCCGUCGGAGGGCCUGGAAGCUUGAUACGGUAUAUUUCCUACAAAUUGAAUAGAUUAUCCAUUUGCAGAAAAAGGUUCAGAGAAAUCCCACCAAUCAAAGAUUGCACGGCAUUCUUGUUACUCAGAAUUGUGGCCACCAUAUUGAAAUUUGUAUCCUCACAUUAGAAUAGAUGAGUAAAUGUUAUAAUUCAUGUACUUCUUAAAGGUUAAUAGCGUUAUUGGACUGAUUGACAUAUUGAAUAUUGAUAUAAUCCCCAUUAAUACAUCCAAGGUAGUUGCUUCUAUAAGGUAGACCAAUAGCUCCCAAUAGCAACUCCUCUCAAAUAAUAAACAGACGGAAUUCCACAUAGGCUUGACAAAGAGCUUGUAUUUCACUAAAUUUUCUUCACGAUAGAAGUAACUGAUCAGAUAAAUUCAUCAUUCUCAGAUAAAAAGUAAACUAAUGCAUUUCAGACACUCUAAAGUUGCUUGACACAUCAUCAUGCAUCCCGAAACUAGUUAAUUUACAAGGUGACUAGUUGCAUCAUUUCAAUUGUUAAACAUGUUCAGGCUGCAAAAAGGGUUUAUCAUUGACAUUCAGUCAAAUCUACAUACACCACCGUUGGAGAAAAAUUACCAUAAGUCAAUUACUGGGCUUAGCAUUUCCAAAAUUUGCAAACAAGACCGCUUCAAUUUAGCGCUAGUAGUAGAUAGUCCAAGCUUGAUCCAGCUAUAAUUCACAAGGAUCAGUGAUAAACGGACAGAAAGUAGAUGGAGACAGUAGAGAAACUUUCCAAAAUUUCCAAAAUUAGAGGCGGUGCAAAAGGUAGACAGGAAUUAGUCCUUCAGCCCCGUGACAGCAUUAUGUGAAGAAAACGGUAAGGUAAAACCAUCACAUUUUGAAAUUAGAAAGAAUUAACCAUUGAGAGAAGAAUAUAAGAGCUUGAUAACAGAUAAUUUGGGGGUAUAAGACUGUUAUGAAUGAAAUUUUCUUAAUUGUUAGAAUGAGCAAGAUUUUCAGUUGAAGAACAAUAAAUCAACUUUGGAAGUACCAAUAAACUCAGGAAGAAGAAAAUAGGAAAAUGCAAACUUAUGAUGAAAAUGGAUGUUGAUUGAAGGGUCUGGAAAAUUUUUCAAACACUCUGAUUUAAAAGUGUUAGAUAAUCCUACUUAAAGACAUUGUUUUUUUUUCCUAAGAUAUUGUUUAAUAAUUCAUAUAAGGAAAAAAACCACCAAAAAUCCUAAACUUCGCACAAAAUGACAAAUUUACCCCCAAACUUUUUUUUGUAACACAAAAAACCCCAAAUUUUCCAAACUGACACAUUUAUCCCAAACUCUAUGGCCAAGGGCAUUUUCGUCUUAAUUUUUUAUUUUUCUUUCCUUUUUCUGUUUUUCCUUUUUCUUAUCUUUUUUUUCCCCCUUAUUCUCUCUUGGGCGGCGAAGGGAAGCCAGACUCAAGGCAGUGCCGCUGUCGCUGCCGUUGCACAAGGGUUGCCCUCGCGUUGCCCUUGCCUGGGUAGGCAAGGUUGGGCGAGAACAGCCCUCACUUGUGUAGGGUGAGGGCGGCCCCCGCCUCGGCCAGAUUUGGCAAGGAAUGCCCUCACCCUCCGCCAGCAAGGGCGACCCUUGCCCAAGUUCGGCUUCCCUCCACCGACCAUGGCAGAGGAAAGAGAGCAUAAGAAAAAAGGAAAAGAAAAGAAAAGUAAAAGAUGACAAUGUCUUACAGUUUAGGAUAAAUGUGGCAUACGGAUACAAGUUUGGAGUUUUUGGUAUCACAAAAAAAAAAAAAAAAUUGAAUAAAUGCAUCACAGUUGACAAAGUUUGAGAUUUUUUGUGUCACAAAAAAAAAAUUAGAUGAAUUUGAUGUUUUUGGUGGCUUUAUCCCUACAUAUAAUUAACAAAGAAGGAGCCCCACACGCGAUACAAGACCAACGGCAGAAGAUGUUAGAAAUUUCCACCGGAAGCUGUUAAGUUGGGAAAGAACACACACACACAUAUAUAUAUAUGAAGUCGAAACAAACCCUAUAAACAAAGACAUAGAAUGCGACGGAAAGUGCAGGAACGUGCCGACAGUAUUCGCCAUAUAUUUGCAUGUUAGCUUUAGAUGUGUCUCAAAUUAUUGUGUACAUUAGUACCCUACAGCCACCUGCACAGACUAAGAAAAUUAUACAGCGUUCUGACUAGAAAACCAAAGAUGUAGAAUCAAACGAUAGCCAAAGCAAGAAGCAAAGAUUAGAGGAGUCAUCUAGAUUAUACCCAAUAAGCGGAUUGAUCUCUACCCCCACUUGAUACCUAAUAUUCCGCCAUGAGGAAGACUAAAUUCUAACUUACCUCGUCAAGUUUAUCACCUCCCUUCACGAGAACAGAGUAACAACACUUCUGAGAUUUCCCAUUCACUGUCUCCUCUCUUUCGUCUAUGUAAGCAACCCGUAGAGAAGGAUACCUAGAAUAUUUUAGUAUCAUUGAUAUCCAUCAGCCACUUUGGAACUUUCUGUUGAUUACUAUUGAAGUAACAUCCUUAAAACUUACAUCAACAUGAGGUUCAACACGUUAAUGUAACAGCUUCUGUCUCUAGUAUCACUAGACUUCUUUUGAUUCCCAUAAACUUGGCAAGAGACAACAUAGGUGAACUUCAGAUCAGCCAGAGCCUGUGCAGAUUCUGUGAUUACCUUCUCAUUCUCAUUAUUUAGAGCUGCAACAGAGACAUUGAGUCUUGAUUAGUAUCUGGAUGCCACUUCUUAUAGCAACUUUCAAACAAAAACAGAUCAAAAGCUGUAAUUCUGCAUUUCUUUCUUUCAUGUUAAAUGACUAACCGUUAUCUCCAGCUAAUUCAAGAUGGCAUUGAAGUUCUAGAGCUUGCCUGUAGUACAUCAUCCCUCUCACUAGAGCAAAUGCACAUAGUAAGUAAGAACAGUCGCAAUGCAAGGAUAAAUAUGACUUUCAAGCAUAGCGUAUGGUUCCAGAUAUAAAAAUUCUCAACCUGUCCUAGCCAGAGUCUGGCCUCUGUAAGAGACCCAAAAACGUGUCUCCCGUUCCAUCUUUUCCUUCUCUACUUUUCCAGAUUUUGGAUCUUUUAUCCGUUCAUUAAAAUUGGUCCACUCAUCUAGAUCGCAUGGCACAAGGCAUCAGUCAAAUUGCAUCAAGUGAACAAGUGAAUUAUAACAUACUAAAGGGCAAACUUGCCUGGAUAGAUCUUCUGCAGGUAAAACAGAAUUGUGAUUCCAUCCUCAUUUUCCCUAUUAAGAUCUUCGGUGGAAUAGAGGACAUCUUCUUUGUUAUAUGGAGUCAAGACACUGACCAAGACGUAAAAGCAGAGGAGAGCCCAAAAGAAAAUGAUAAAUAGGUAUCUAUUAAACCACCAUCUUGGACACGCACAUAUAUAUUGCGCGCCCAUGCAUAUAUACAGAAAAAUGGUAAAAUGGAGCUUGGAGGUUGAGGAGCUUCAAUCCCUACAAUCUUUACAUAAUUUAGAGAAAAUAUCAUAACGCCACCAAGUCGAACCUAGGAUAUCUCUUUAUUACCAUGAGUAAUUAAUUAAACUGGAUGUGUUUUGAUAAAAUAGCUAAUAAGAGUAAAUAGAUCCAUUAUAUUUUCUCAGUAGUCAUCCAUGAUUGAAAUGUUACCACCACCAUCUAUUAAAAAUUUGUAUAUGGUCAUAUCUAGUCUUUUCAAGUCAUCAAUUUAUCUCUAUAUAUCAGUAAGCACGACCAUGAUUUCACCUCAAAACAACUACGCGAUUUCAGAAGAUAUGAAAUUAGAAAUAUCAUAUGAUACUUUUUUAACUAUGCCAAUAACAAGCACAAAAACUGCAUGAAUAGUGAUUGGAUUUCCAACUUUCUUUUUUAAUCUAUAAUGGCAGCAGUGUUAAUAUACUGCAUAAAAACUCCGUCUAUUGCAAAAGCAAAUCAUUCUAUCAUCAUUUAUUAUCAAUGAGACUAAAUUGUUAACUUAAUGCGAUUUCCAGCAACUGAAUUGAACAAACAAGGUUGUCUCUUUCGAUAAAGCAUAGUAUCUAUUCAUGUAAAAACAGACCUGAAGGGCAGCAUUUUGCGCACUGUCGGAGCACCUGGCAUUUUCAUGAAUAAAGAAUUAGCAAAGAAAGUGAUGCGUCGACGAGCUUCCAAGUUUGAAGGCACGUUGAUGGCAGAUUCCUUGACUGUCAGAAGCAAAUAGAGCCGAACGACCUAGAAGUCAAAGAAUUAGAUUUUACUUACUACGUAAUUAUUUGUGGUUUCUCAGACGAAAAUGAGUCAAGCACACCUUUUCUCUGUAGAUUUUGUGUUGUACCAAGCCAAUGUUGAUCUUCUCAAACAUCUGCUCCUUUCUAUCAUUUUUCGUAUGGGGGGGGUUAUAAAUAUUUGCUUUUUCCAGGAUCCUACAAGCAGCACAGUCAAGGACACAAACGUUUUGCAUCCACAUAAACAAGCAUGUUUGUCAGAACUUACCCAUGCCCAUUCUCCAUGACAUCCUCGGUAAUUAUCUCCAUGAUGUCUUGGAGGACAUUGAUUAUCUGGGAUUUGUACACUGUUGGGUCGUCGUACUCACUUAGCUGCCAAAAUAACAAAAGAUGUUAAGAAGUGAGAUAUUCUUGAAACUGAGCCAAUUGGAGGGAAGAAGAGAAAAUGAUUCAACGGUCAGUCCUCCAAGAAUAAUUUUAUAUUCAUGUAUUUAUUGAGAUUAAAACUGAAGUUAGAUAUAGGUGACAAAAACACUUACCAAGAUGGUCAAGAAUUUCUCCAACUUAGUACUGAGCAAAGGCAAUUCACUUGUUUUAAAUUCAAGCAAAAAUCUGCGCUCUUGUAUGCUCUUAACUACUCCUUUACAGAUUUCACUUACAAUUCUGUAAAAAUUGAAAAACGUAUGGUUUCUCAAUAGCCUUAACAGAAGAAAAAUUGCCACCAGUAUGAUACGACAAAUAAAAUAUGGAGUUACAGGCUAAAGUAUAUGUAAGUUUUCUCACUUACAUUCUGUCAGCUUCAUUUUCCAGGAGGUCAUAUAUGAUGUCCCGGAGAGUCUCAUAACAUUCAAUCACUGCUGAAUGCAUAUCAGGAUCGUUCUUUAUCCUCUUAAACAAGUCAUUGUCCUUCUUGCCCUUAAAAUCUUUUGCCAUGUCUAAUGCUAUGGGAAUCUUUUGUAUGAAAGAAUAAUGACAAGAAGCCUGAAUUAGAGCAAAUAGAUGAGCAGAAAUCAACUUGUGAAAUUAUGCAUACCUUGCUAGCAAGCAAAAAAGGAGGCCAUUGCACAACAGAGACAUCAAUUGAAGAAGAUGGUACAAGGAGCAAAUCUCUUUCUCUGGAUUAAUCGGCCAAUGGAAGUGUCAGAGUAUCCGUUUGAGGCAGAAGACUGAAGCUAAAAUUGAGGAAGUGGAAUUAAUUCCUAAUUAUACCUGUUGCUAAUUAGGUCUUCCUCUCUCAUAGUCUGAAUAAAUUCGUUCCACAUUCUUGAAAAGUUUGCAAUAUCUUUCCUCAGUAUGGCUUCAUCCUACCAUGGAAAAGUAGAAACGCAUCAUAAACAUGAUUUUAUAAGAAAUGCCACCCCUAAAUCUAUGAAGUGGCCAACAAAAAAGGAACUUAUUGGAUAAAGAUUCUAUGAAUAAACAUGGAACAUUAGAUCAACCAACCAUUGGAUAUACCUGUUGCCUCCUCCUGGCUUUCCUAGCAUCCGAUGAUGAUGAUGGCAAAAGAUGUUCACUAAAAGCUUUGGGCACGGUGUGAAAUCUGGACCGCAACAUCCCUAGUGUUCGUAUCUUGAGAAAAGCAAGAAGGUAUCAUAAGCAAGGAGAAGUAUAUAGUAUCCUUAAGCAUAAACCUAGGAGCUAAACUGUCUGUGUCAUGAAAAUUGGAAAUGCUUCAGGCAUUCUAUUUAUGCGGGAAGAAAGAAUUGUCACUCACCUCGCCUAAAUGUCUAAAAGCACCAUGUAUGCCACCAAAAAGACUAGAGAAUAUGGCAUACCAAAUUUGUGUAUCCAUAAAAUAGACCUGAGAACAUAUCACACAGGACAUAUUGUCAUUAAAUACGGCAAACCGCUAGAUCAGGAUCAUGACAAAACUACCCAGUCUGCUUACAAGAACUAUAGGGGCCCAUAUUGCAAUAACAACUCCAAUGUUAUGUGUCACUGCAGCUGCAGAUGGAUAUUAGCACAGGCUUUUUCCCCCGGUUAGAAAAUACUAGAAACAUCACAAGAGUUAAAAGAAAACUUACAAUGAGGAAAAAACUCGUGCCAUUGAUAAUUAUCCAGAUGCAUCUCCAAGAUUAAUUGUGUUGGUCCAACAAGUGGUGAAAUCUAUGCACAAAAUACGCAUGUUUAAAUCUUUUAAAGUGAAAGUGGAGAGCAGAAUGCUGCAGAGUAGCUACAUCUCCUGAACCACUGAAGCUAACAUCAUCCACACACAAAAGCUCGACAAACAACGACCCCACAAUCAACUAACUGGAUAAAAUUUCUGUUAUUCUACGGACAUGCUCAAAACUAUCUUGACAGGGUAUCAAGGCAACACUCAGUUAUUCCGCCAACGAUGCAAGCCUUGAAACAAGACUUGGAACCUCUUUCAGCAAGCAACUAAUAUGAAUUUCUAGAUGACACAUUAAAGUUUAUAUAGCUUUGAGCAAGACUUGCUGAUUAGUUAACACACUUAUGUACUUAUAUCUCCCUGUAUGUGAUUAUUCAAGAUUUAUUCAUCACCUAGUCUGCCAUUUAUGUCGUCCUUUAAGUCAAAAUGUCAUACUAAAUCUGUGAUAGCUUAUUCUCAAGGAUAGCAGCAUCAUCUGUGAAGACAAGAUUGCCAGUACUUCCAUCAGGUGGGUAUUUCUCCAAUCUGUGACCUAUUUAAGGUGAUCAUUUGGGUAUUCUACACUAAACUUCUAACAUCAGAAAGGUUAAAUGAUGUGAUAAGAGAAUUGAUUCUAGCUCAAUUGCAUCAACUUUCUCCAAGCAAGUUUCACUGUUCAAUUUUACCGAGAUAACAAAGCCAGGAGUUAUAGAACUUAUAUGAUCUUUAAGUAAGAAAAGCAAACCCCACAUAAUCCAAACAACUAUAACUUGAUAAAAGAUGAUAACACCUCAACAUAGUAGCUGAAAGCCAGCUUGCAGACAAGCAGCAUGAUCCAAAACAUGGUGUACCUGAGACACAAAAAAAAAAAAAAAAAAAACAAUGUACGAUCAGCAAAGACACUCAUAUAAAAUACAAAGCAGCACAUAUCUUUUUACUUAGGGUGAUAGGUCUAUGUCCGAAUACUGCACUCAAGCGCAAACUCAAGAACUAGCCAAGAAGGUUUUUUUGUUUUUUUUUUUUUUUUGGUAAGGUAAGUAAUAUUAAGGGGAAGGUCAAAAAGUACAGACAACCGACUUCAAAGAACUGUCACUCAAGAUGAACAGGCUCAUGAUGAGUGAAAGGAAGCUGAAAAAGGCCAAUCGGCCGACAACACCAAAACAAGGCAACACGCCAAAGGAAGAACACAAAGCAGCACCAAGUGUCUACCCAGGCAAGGCCAACUUAGACGUCGAAGAUAGCAGGGUCCACAACUAGCCAAGAAGGUUUGUCCUUGAAAAUAAGAAAAAGAAGACAGUGCUGACAUAGCAAACAUUGCUUUCAAAAUUAAAACAAUUCAAAGCAUAAAUACACAACAUAUUAAUCAGAGUAAUUAUCUUCUUACUUCAGCAGUGAAAAUAUGUCCUCAUGCAUGCCUCUCCCCACAUAAAGCUUUGGCUGCAUAGUAUGAACAUACAUUUCAGGUGAAGAAAACAAGAUAAUGCAAACAAGUGAGUAAGGCCCAUAGUAGCGAAGUGGUAGUCUAAUCCAUCUACUUGCCUGAGCCCACCACAUAAGAACAGUAAUAGGGAACAUACUUGAGCGCUCCAUGGUCCUCCUUAAGUAAGGAACGAAGAAAAGUAUAGCAGCUAAGACAUUUGGAAUCAUAUAAAUUGCAAUGGCAUAAUAAAAGAACGACUGGUGCCUCCAAUCUUGACCCCAGGUGCUGAAAAAUUUCAGGACUCCUGUUGGAUACUGCACUAGACUAGAGUAACUAAUUGGCAGAACCACAGCCCAAACAGCUGCCAUUACAAAUUUCAGAAUGUAUCGGAGAAUCUGCGUAUAUCUCAUGCUUUUCCAGGCAUUUAGACCAAGAAUUAUAUUCAGACUUGCUGCAAAAGAGGAAAGGAAGAAGGCGGUGUCAGUAAUGAUUUUAUGCUAAGUGGCUCUUAUAAAAUUUGCCAAUACAUAUGCAAGUAGUCAAAACGGGUCCAGGAUGACAUAUUACACAGUAACUAUAGAGAUAUAUUAUAACAAGGUCUUUCCUAAGGAUUGCCUCUAAGAUUGACAUAUAAAACUUGAGACAGCUAGAAAUGCCUUCUCCUUAUCACAAGGAGUGGAUUUGCUGCAUUCUCCAUAAAGAAGGCUGCAAGGCUAAACAAAUUUUCUCCUUCCUAAGGCUGAACCGGUUUUGGAAACUCCUAAUGAUAUGUAGAUUGCAAUAUAGUCAAUUUUCAAAUAGACUUGCCCACAUAAUAAAAUCUUUCAUAAAGAAGUGGACCAUUAUCUUCUUCUUUUUUCAUAUUACUCUGAUAAUACCUUCUUGAAUUCUGCUCAAUGACCUUGAUGGCUUGAUGGAAUGGAGAUUCCCUCAAAUGUGACACAAUUAUGUGAGUAUUCUCGCCAUCUUUUUCUAUUUCUUACACUAUCUAUUACAAACUUUUGGUUACAGACAUAUCAAUCCCUCUUAUAUAUUGGGCUUAUUCUGUAUCUCUUGAUUAUUUUAAUUCUUCUGUUUCUCGUGCAGUUUUGUCGGAGAUGAUAGAGAUUGGAGAGGCAUCAAACAGGAAAUCACUCUACAAAUGGUCAAAGGUACUCCUCGAUUCUUUUCUAUAUACUUUAUAUUAUGCAAAAAUAAAUUUGAUAAGAAUCGGCUCCUAAAACUUUACGUCAAUGAAAAUUUACAUUCUAAAUCAUAAAGAAUAUGAUUUGAGGUAACGUAUGAUGCCCACUGGAGAUGCCGAGGCAUGUCUAUAGUACGCACUGACAUUAAUCAUGACAAUAUAUUGUCCCCUUUUGAAUGUAUGAAGCGUGACAUUUUCCCUUUUCUCAAUUUGAGAAAUAUGAAUUUGAAUAUGAUAUUUUUUUUUCUGGCAAAGGAAAUGUUGGUAUUUUUUUCACUUACUAUUACAAAAGAUAGGAUACUUUGUCUCAUUAAAAUGCCAGUCACAUUUGACUAGUGAUUUAAGUGUUCUUACUUUUUGUAUAGUGAACCUAUGCUCUACUCCAAAACAACAUUAUUGCGAAAGAAGAGAAAGAUUUGUGUGCCUCGUAUUUUUUUCUAAUUAUUUGUAUUUAACUAACAAGUUUCUGCUUCUUUUUCAAUUUACAAAGUUGUGGCUUGUAUAAACGGAUGGACUUGAUAACCUCAUAUACGAUGAGAAAAGAUGACGAGAGUUUGUCUGAACUUUUCCUUCCCAUCUUCGCCUACUCUCUGAACUUUUCCUUCCCAUCUUCUCCUUCCCCUGAUAUUAAUUUUUUUAUGCUCUCUUACAUCCUUAAAUAUAUAUCUUCUUUAAUCUUAUUCAUUUAAUUAUCACUCCAUUUGUUUCUAAUUUUUUUUCUUUUUGCAAAUGCCCACUCCUGUGUUGCUGAGAGAAUCGAGAUAUUUAUGUUUUGUGAUGUCCAUAUGUGAUGUGGACGUAUCUUUAUUGGUAUGUAUCUACUUUACAGGACAAAUGAAUUAUUAGGUCUUCGUAUUUAAGAAUUUGUUCUACUCCCACCUUUUUCCUCAAUAAUAAGAUUACCUCUAACAACGUCUUGGACAUAUUAGAAAGAUGCAGUAAUGAGUUCUACACAUUUCUAUUAAACAUAGGUCAACUUUUAUAUUGGUCAUUUCCUUGAUAUAUCAAUAAAACAUGAUUUUUAUCAUAUCAUGGUUAUCCCGCACAAAGCGCUGGCUAAUGUCUAGCGUUAUUUUAUAUGUAGCAUAAACUAGCACAAUCAGUCUACGGAGAUAAUGGGGAAAGAUACAUAAUGUUUACCAUACCCCUCAGAAAGUUCAGGAAAGCAUGAGUUAUGAAGAUGGUCAAAACUUGUCUGAUAACAUUUUCGUGGAAGAGAGCAGUGACAGACCCGGUCCAUGCAACAAUUACCAUGCCCUGCACCAAGAAAAUGGAGCUUGGUUAAUUUCUUGCAGAGAAAGUCUACAACAUUACGCUGCUCAACGUCAAGGCUACCUGGAAUGCCAAUAUAAGGAAUAUCCACAUCCGAUCAAAACUUCUGUAGAGGUGCAAAAAGGUGCGGACUUCCACAAAAUUAGUUUUGGGUUGCUUCUUCCUGGUAGUAUCCUGGCUGACAUGCUGCACUAAUAUAAGUAUAUAUAUCACCACGGGUUCUUUCUUUUUAUUGACCAGGAUCAACAUGGGUUCGCAGACAUGCUAAUCAGAGAAAAAGAUCAAUUUGUGGUAUUUCGUUGUGCUCCAUCCCCUAAUUUUUCGAUUUCCUCAUAUAAUUUGAUAAACCAUGAAACUUCUAAAUGUUUUCUUUUAGAAAAAUGUCAUGAUUUGGAUAAUCUUGGUUAGCCAUUAUAUCCAUGUACGUUGUCAAAGGAGCUAGCUUACUAUUCGCACUAGUAAGAUUGCUCCUGAUUGCUACAGUGCUGAAAAGGCAAAAGUCUCAGACGUAUGGUGCACAAAGAAGUGCAAAAUGGGCUCAGACUUUAUAAUUUCUAAAUUCACUACAUCACUGGAGAGAAGAAGCUACUAAAAUCUAUUUAGAGUUUCAUCACUACCUAUUUGAUAAAAAAUAAAGGCAUUCAAAUCAAACAAGUUGUUAUAUUCUGACGAUGCUACGUUCCCCUUUUGAAAUUGGGAGUUUAAAACACAGAACCCACGCUUAAAGGAGUCAACAGUGCCUAUUGGUGAAUGCCCAUAAACUCAAGUAGAGAUGCAAUCACUUUCCGGAACUAUAAGUUUCAAAUUCACCCGGUCAAUAGAGAGAAGGAGCUCUUAAAAUCUGUGUAGAGAUUUUCUUUGUGACAGCCUCCUCUCUUGUCCCACAUCACCUAGGGAGGGAGGUCUUGGUUAACUUAUAAGGCUUAGGGCCACAGUGAGGACACUCUUCUGUUAAGAGGUGGAGAAUGUGACAGCCUCCUCACACAUCGUCUAGGGAGGGAGGUCUUAGCUUGGGGCCACAGUGAGGACGCUCUUUUGUUAAGAGGUGGAGAGUGUGACAGCAUCCUCUCUUAUCCCACACUCUUCUGUUAAGAGGUGGAGAGUGUGACAGCCUCCUCUCUUAUCCCACAUCGCUAGAGAGUGUGACAGCCUCCUCUCUUAUCCCACGCUACGCUCUUCUGUCACACUAGCCUCCUCUCUUCUCCCACAUCGCGCUCUUCUGUUAAGAGGUGGAGGGUGUGACAGCCUCCUCUCUUAUCUCAUAUCGCCUAAGGCUUGAGGCCACAACGAGGACGCUCUUCUGUUAAGAGGUGGUCUCUUGUCCCACAUCAGCCUCCUCUCUUGUCCCACGGUCUUGGUUAGCUUAUAAGGCUAGGCUGAUCUUGGUUAGCUUAUAAGGCUUGGGUCCCUCUAAUCUGUGUAACGCGUUUGACCACCACCGCUUAAAGAAGUUAAGCAAUGCCUAUUGCUGAAUGGUCAUAAUCUGGCCUAGAGAUGUAGUCACUUUCCAGAGCUAACCUUUUAAGAAAUGGAAACGGGGAGAAAAAUCUGAUAAGAAAGGAAUCAAUGGCACUGCUAAACAAAGCCAAGGUUCCAGAAAAGGAAAAAAAUUUCAAGCUUGACUGCUCUGCCAAUUAUCAUUGUGUUAUCUAACAGGUUAACCAAAUUGGAAAGUAGUUUCUGGUAACAUUUUCCUUGUUUAGCUAGUAAGUCAUAUAUACUUUAGUGGACAAUGAAGAGUCACAAAAUUGAGUGGCAUCCAAUCUCCCAUGGCCAUAAGUUGGACGCAGAAUUGACGCAAAGAGCUGCACACAGCAUGCAUGCGCACACACAGAGAGGGAGAACAAGGAUUACAGAAUUUGCAGGUUGAGAAUCGUCUGUUUGCACAAAGAAAUCAGCUUUCGUAUUCAACGGCCACCCUAGAUCAAAACACUUGUCGGACCUGAGGAAAUUGAAAUGUGAAUUAAGUGACUUGCUUCUGCCAGAGUCAUAAAGUUAUUCAUGCUCAAAAGAUCUUACCAGAAGUACUCGUUUAGGUCAUCAUAAUUUCUCCAUCUUGAAUGGCUUGCGUUGUGUCCUUUGUUUCUCGUAGCUUCCUUUAACCAUGUUACUCAAUUUUCAGAUCUCAACAUGGCAAACAAGAAUUUGAGGCGUCAACUGAGAAGGAACAUACCUUGUGGAGGACCUUGUAGAAAGGGGUUAUAACAUCCCUCAAAAAUGACUCGUCAUUAGGUGCUGCCCAUUUAUAUGCAUCUCCACUAACUGCAUAAACAUUGCCAUCCAAGAUGACAGAAACUUCAUCCGCCAUCUUGUUCCAUUGGACAAAAAGAAGGUUAAUAUCACAUAACCAACAACGGAAAAACACGUACUAGUAAAUCAAUGAAAAUUGAUGACAUGUUAUUAGAAUGCGAUCAAGGUUGCAGUUUUGCUCUUGACAGGUUCAUUUCAAUGGCUGAUUAAGCAGAUUUUGCUUCAGCAAGGAAGAGAUUAUCGAAGUUGGGCACAAUGAUGGAGAAGCACCACAUUGAACGAACCGAUUUUCCCAAAGAAAUUUGGCUAGUAGUUAGAUGGAACAUAAUCAGCUUUUACUCUAGCUGAUUAAGCAGAUUUCUUCCUUUAAUAGCAAACUCUAAAUAUGUUUGACAUGACUGCUAUUCAUCGAGUAAACAUAAUAUGUGCCUUUGGAUGACUAGAAAGGACAUAGAUAUUGAGAUAACCAUAGUACGCACCCUGUGAAAGAUAUAGCAGAGACAUUCAGGCAUAAAUCGAACAUUUGAAGCUUCACCCCAUAUUAGAAGAUAGAGCGCAAUGUAGAGAAGUUGCAACUGUUGUCUCUCGCGAUUUGGGGGAAACCUGGAGGAAAAAUUGUGAUUUGCCAAAACAUUGAGCAGACUUGCAAAUCGGCUAUCCCAUGGCAUAUCAGAUGGUGAUUGUUCCUUCUCAAUUUUCAUAUGGAAGAUUUAUGUGAUAGUAGGGCGAGAAAAGCUUACUUGAGAUUGUGCUUCUGAUGAAGAUAAUAACACCAGGAUCGAUAGUUCUUGAGAAUUUUUUCCAUCAGCUGAUCAACAGUGUGAUCAUUCAACUGCAGGAGGCAUAUGUCCAAGAUUGAAUCACACCUCAUUUUUAAGUGAACUCUGCUAUUUCUAUAUAAACCUAUGCAGAUAAAUGAUGUCCAUACCUCAGUGAAAUCGUCCUCUAGUCUAUCCCUUAUCUCCUUGUUGGCAAGUAAAAGAAUUAAAUGCUCCCUCUGAUUUGCCACAUUUCCUUUCUUCAGCAACAAGAUGAGGAUCCAUAUUUAGUCAGAUGAUGUAUAAUUUCCUUCAUUAGAGAUUCCAGAAAGCAAAGGUGACCUAUGAAACUAAUUAGAAAGGUUAAAAAGUGAUAAAACUCUAUUCACCUUUGAGAACCCACGGAAGGCUAAGUCCACUAUGUAGUGUUGACUAGGCUAUAUAGGUAAAAAUGCACCUUUCCACAUGAGACAUGUUAUUACUUCGUGUAUUCAAAACACAAAUGCCAGAAAAGCCAUAAGAUCCUUGACAUCGUAGUUAGCCAAAAUCAAAUUUAAAGCCCAACGUUGCCGGUGUCAUUUGCAAUAUCAACGUCAAUAACCUAGGCCCAACUAGGAUGUCGAGGUUCAUAUAUUUCAAGGGAUACAAUCAGCUAGACAAGUUUGUCAGAAGUAUACUGUAAUGUCUAACAAAACGUUAGAUUGGUAAUUCUCACAUAUAAGUUUGUGAAACCACUUAUCAUGAUUCAACUGCAAAGGAAUGGACCAAAUAAUUCAGGCGAUUCAAGUUCUUAGAAAUGUUUUUAAAACCAAACGGGUGUGAAACCAAGAAGUUGGCAAUUCGCAAGAUAGCCAAUGAGAUCAUCUGAGCCGUUCAAUUUAGUUAAACUGAGUCAAAUAUGUGAUAUGGUGAAGUAAUCACACACCCGAUUUAGGUCAGAGCGCGUGCACUUUUAGCUCUUAGAGACCGAGGAUUCAGUCUCCGCAACACCAGUGGGCAUUCUUUCUCUGAAAGGGUUCAGUUUUUUUGGUCUAAAAUUAUCCACACAAAUAAGUUGCAUGUGCAGCUGGAUAAGAUCCGGGCUCAAAUCAAUGGCAGGGCGCGGUUCAAACCCCAGCUCAGCCACAUGUCCUUUACUUUCCAAAAGUACUUGAGUCUCACCCUCGUCAAGUGACCAGUUCAAACGGACCAGUCCAGUCCGGUUUCCCAAAAUUUGGUGGUAGGCCAAACUUGCCCCAUGUAAAGGUUGUUAGAAGUCAUUUAAUUAUGAUAUUGCGUUCUACUAUUUCCAGCAUUACUUGAGCACCAACAAAAACUUUCUUUAUCAUUGUGAAUGGUGCAUAAACCACCUUUUCUCUUGUACAAUAUAAACAACUGAGAGUACUUUCGGCGCACUAUGGGAUCAGAGAUUAUGCGCAGCCCUAAAAUCAGCUUGCUAAAGGAGGACCCGAAGCAAUAUCAAGGCAAAAAUAGUGGAUUUAAAUUAUAAAGGGACGUUCAAGACAAGUUUUACCUGGAACCCAAAAACAGAUGAAAGCCAAUCAAGUAUAUCAGUGUUGGACUGGCUGCUCUCCUUUGGCAUUACCAAAUUAUCGUCCUCAACGUUUGGCCCUCCAUGAGCUGGGAGUAUUGGAAGAUUGUCCACAUUGCGUAUGGCCCGAAGGGCAGCCUUAAUCUAGACUUUUCAUAAAACUUGAUGAGUAAUACGGCCCACUGUUGAGAAAAUCCAAUGCAAACCUUUCAUAAGUUGAAAAUUUACCUCAGGAAGUUUUAUAAUUGCAGGUUCAACCCCAAUUGCAUGUAAUGGCAAAAUGUUAUAGUGUACGGACUGCUCCCUUUUUCUCUCAACUUCUUCAGCAUACCUUUUUGUCUGUACAGCAAAAGCCAAUUGCAGAUACCAUUAUUCAGUGCUUGCCACAGAGAAGAACACAAAGAUGAAUGCAGGCUAGGAAACUAAAACUCUUUCACUGGAACCUGAUCAUCAAGCUUUGAGGGAUGCACCACGGUUGUCAAAACAUCAUAUAAUACUGUAGCAAUCUGAUAUAUCUUUGCCAUUUCUUCCCUUCAAGAGUUAAUAGCAAAAAGAAGAAUCAAUAAAGUGAAGAGAUUCGUUGGCAGUCAAUCAAAUAACAGUAGAGCCUUACGGCUUUUUGGUGCGUUGGGCAUCUUUGAUAUUGUUUUCAUAGAACAUCUGGUAAUACAUCUGGAUUUCUCUAGGAUCAUUUUUGGCAAGCCGAAAUGGUGUCUCUACUUCUUCCUACAGAAUGAGAAUGUCAGACAUUAAACAUUUUGCAUACAAGUUAUGACCCAGUCCCUCUGUUGGUUUUUCCCCCACCAAGGCUAAAUUCUGUGACGUAUUGUGCACAUAAUACAAAUGAGGGAAUCGGAAGAAAAUAAUAUAAACAAUUUUCCUUGCAAACUAUAACAAGAAAUGGUGACUGAUGACAAGAAUGUACUAUCAUUAUCAACAGCCAAUAUGCCUAACAGCAUUGGAGCAACAGCAGGGCCAUGGAAAAAUAAAAGACAUUUCAAGCUACCAAGAAUAGUGACAUCUAGAUGCUCUUUACAUUUAAAUGCCUUGUUAGGAUGAUACCCCUACAUCCUCCCUUUUUCUAACCUUCAACUUGGAUGAUAAAUGGCACCAAUAUAUGAGGUCAUUUAUAAGUCGGCAUCCCAUGAAGUUGGCCUUCCAGUUGCAAGAUUUUGGUUAAAUAUAUCCAUUAUCAUAUGACUUGUCAGGAUUUCCAAGAAAACUUCAAAUGAGAAGACAUAGAAGUACAUAACAUUUCAGGAAAAAAAAUUGAUCUCAAAGGAUCAAGCACCAAAUAAUGCUGAUAAACUCUGGUCUCAGUAGUUCAAUCCCCCGAUUCAGAGAUCAACUAACUAUAAGUUGAGCAACUUUAACGUCAGAUCAAGUCAUUGAGUCUGUAAUGCUUUGGACAAGAGUGGCCGAGGGACCAAAAAUGGUGCAACUGUGGGUUAUGAUUGUUGGACAAGUGGUCAAGGAGGUUUCCAGACGGAAACUAUAGCCCUCGAGCACCGAUUGCUACUCUAUGUAUAUGCAGUUUCAGGGGGCUUUCUAUUGUCUAUGGUCCCUCAAAGAACCAACCCUCAAGAAUUGGAAGCUGUUAGAUCCCUAAUGAAUAGAUCUUGGUUGUUCAUUGAAAACCCAUUAAGAGUUUAUGCAUUACAGCACAAUGUAUGGGAAUUACGACAUAAUACACUUGGGCAUGACCGUGGACAGUUCCUCAAGGGGACCAUGGAGGCCCCCACAAUUUCAGAUAUGGCUUGGUUAACUCUAAUACUGCACAGUACUUGAAAAUAAGUCUUGGGGAGUGUAUCAGUAAGGGUUGCAAUGCAACAGCUUCAUUUCUAAAUCUGUCACACUCAAUAAUGAAGAUAUUCAAAGGGCAAUAAUCACAAAAGACUAUAUUGAUGUGGGAGAUUAAGAGACCUAUUUCAUUCUUUGAAAGACCAUUUUCCCAAGCCGAAGAUAUGAGGAUGAUAAAGCUUUAUAAAACCUCACAAAGGACUGUAUUGAUGUGGAAUUUUAUCAUGGGGCUCUCAAUAAUAUAUGAAUAUCAUAAUCACUUUCCAUGGAAACAUAAGCAAUGCUAAAGCUCCAUCAAAGGUCUGUUAUUUUUAUCUUUUAUUUUUUCAAUUCUGAAAUGUGAUUCUAGGUAACAAUAAAGAAAAAAUACGACCUGAAGCUUAGGAAAAUUGUAACGGUCAAUUGGUUUUCUCUGCCAAAACAAUUGGUACAUCUGCUUAUUCAGUGGUUGCUGACAUUUAUCACAUUGUUGGAUCUUUCAGCAGGGAUAUCUUGGGUCAUGCCUUACUGUAAUAAAUGCAAUCAGAAGCUGCAAGGCAUCUCAGUCAAUUUUGACAAAGACCGUGGAAGUCGGUGCCAUCUUGUGUAACACGGAAUAUCUAGUUGGAGAAAACAGAAAGGUUUUCCAAAGCUGAUUGCUAUUGCUCACAAGUCGGCUGUGGAGUGAUAUUCUGCUUGUUUGUAUAGCUUCUUUUUUAUUUUCUGAUACUGUCCUAUGUAUAUACAUCCAGUCUAAUGGGAUACUCCUUGUUUAUGUCUGAGUCCACUUAAACAAUCUACAACUGCAAAUCCAUGGUAAUAUCACUCAACAUGAUUUUCUCACAUCUUGAUAGCUUAGUAAAUGUGGAAAUGCAGUCUCCGACCAUCAGAUCUAACAACCACAGUCACAUUUGUUAGUUUAGCUGUCACAGCUUGAAAAGACAAAAUGCUUCACUGCUAGUGACGUGAUGUAUAAAUGAACUUCAUUGAUGUUUCAUCAUUCAGCAAUGCCGCCAUAACAGGCCAAGGGACCUCGUGAACUAGGAAAGAUACCUUCUCAAGCCUGUGUAAGAGAUAGGUCUUAAACUGGCGAACACCCCGUCCAGCUGAUGUUGGAUCCAUCUUAUGAGCCCUCUCAAAUGCAUGAAAGCGACCUAAUAGGAGAGAUAAAGCAAGGAAAAGGAGAAGUUUUGCUACAGAUUAGGAAGAAGACACUAAGAAUAAGGUAGACCACUGAGAAAGAUUAAUGAGCAUGCAGGAAAAGCAUUUAGUAUCUGCUCCACUCUUACAAUUGAUAAGACCCAGCUUCCAAUGACGGACAGAAAUGAACAGCAUAGACAGAAUUUUCCUAAAAGAAAGAUGACACCAUUGCUUUUCUCUCAUUAACAAACCGUUAGCGCUUCCGCAGCGACUCAAACCAAGUCAUGUUACAGCUUCACAUUAUUUAUCUCUCCAACAAUUACAAUGUUCAUAUCGACUGUAUGCUUUAGACACUUAUCAUGGCUACUUUAGUGUUUGAAUAGUAAUCAUCUGUGGCUCUAACAUAGAAUUCCCUGUUUUGAUGGUAAAGAGAAUUGGACGGGUAGCACGCGCGCGCGCGAAGGGCUAUUGUCGUUAAUUAUGUUUAAGCAAACUAUAAUGUCACUUGACCUAUAAUUGUAACAAGGAUUCCUUCUUAUGAGCUCAUAAGAAGACAUAUCUUGAGCAUAGACUUCGAAAUGACUUUCUUCCAAACUUAUCAAACUUAUAUUAGAUAGAUUCAGCUAGAAAUCAGAUAUUAGAUAAGAAACUAGACACUAGAUGUUAGAUUAAAUUAUGAGAGAGUUCUAUUUUAAGAAUGCUCAGCCCAUUUUCUCUAUCAAACGCCGUUGUUUGAAUACAGUAGAUAGCAUAUAAAUGGGAACAACCAUACAGCUAAUAAUCAUUGAGUAUAUUAUGAAAUAUAACCGUGGAAUUACGUCCUUCUUCCACUUCUUCACUUUGCAUAUCUAUUUAAUCCCUUUCAUCUAAUUCACGUCAUCCAAAGCCAUUAAAAUUUGGUAAGUAAACUCCUCAGUUAACAGCUGUUACAUGUUUUUUUCCCCCAAAGCUAACAAUGCCCAUAAACUAAUACUCUCUUGGGUUAAAUUUCAAGUUAUUUACCGGAAAGGUCGACGAUUGAAGUCGCUUGAUAAAUGACAAGGGAAGAAGAAAAUCAAGCACGCACGAGGUGUGAACAACGAUAGAGACAUAAUCAAAAUUCGACAACCACGACUUAGACAGUGACUUGUCCUGCAAGAGUGUUCAUUGUCUAAGUCGGUCGUGAGAAAAGAUUAAACUUUUACCGUCGAGAAACAACUACAUGGCAUGGCAUGCUUGUCAUUGACUCCACCGAGUCGCCUAUGAAAAUUUUGGCCAUCGAACGAACCGAACAACGGGAAACAGGGCAGCAAAGGACCAGAAUGAGAGAGGAGGAGGAGCUUACACAAAUACGCGACCCUCGGGUUCUCCCACUCGACCUCGUUGGCUACGCGGAGGAUUGGCGCGAUGGCGGCCAGUGAAGAGGGCACCAGCUCGCUGUCCACGGCGGAUGUGUCCUCGUUCGGCAAGUCAGCCAUCAUCGUAUGCGUCCUCGUCAUCUUCUUCGACAGCGACCGGGGCGGGCGGGAGCCCGGCUCCGGCUUGCUCCCGCUCGAGCUCGCCAUCCGCAGCGGCGGCGGCGGCGGUUCCCCACACAGACAGGCCCCCUCGUCUCUUGUAUCACCCGGCUCCUGCUCCUCCGGUGGCGGCGGUACUUCGGGUCUCUACGGUGCCAGCCAGCGUCCAGCGAUCGGGCGUCGUCGUUGUCGUCGUUGUCGUCGCCGCCCUCGGCUUGCGCGGGUCUCGAAGAGAGAUGUGGACUGCAACCAUCGCCAAUCUUUUCCGCGCACUUAUGUACGCGCAGAGGGAAGGGGGAGAGAGAUACUUUGGGUGGUGAGUGGGGAAAGGGGAGUUGCCGCUGGAGCAAGGAAAGAAUGGAGAGAAAUGUGUGGCACAGGGAGGACUGUUGGUUUUCAUUGGAGUGCUUUGCGCUUUCGUCCGGUCGAGUGAAGAAAUGCGGCUCUUUCUGCUUUGUCGCGCGCGAAAGUGCGACUGCGAACGAGGAAGGAAACGCUCCCCCGGAUUUCAAUUUUCGGUUUAUGUCGGUUUUGUUCUCUCUUCUUGUCCUUGGGCUCCCUCGUUUGUUGGGCUUGGGCUUGGGCCUGAGCAGUGAGCAGUGGAUUUGGAGCCUCGAGGCCCAUUCUCCUCAGAGUAGAAAAUCACCUCAGCAGAACUCGUUCGAUAAUUUCAGUUCAUAAGUAAACAGUUGGGAAAAUGACAUAGAUGGUCCUUGAAUUUUGGCCUGAUAUAUAAUAUCAUCCCGAAAUUUUUAUAUAUUCAAUAUGGUUCAUGAAUUUUUGGUAUGUCUUUGAUACAAUCCCUAGACUAAUGUUAUCAUUUCUAUUCGAGUUGACAAAAUUUGUAGAUUUGGCAUCCAAUUAAGUACAUUUGAAUGAUUGACAAAAAAAAAAAUUCCACUCCUAAUAGUUAACUCGAAUUAGAAUAUAAUGAUCAUUUUAAGUUGUAUCAAUUUGGAAAAAAAAAGAUUAUUUAUGUUAUUAGAUGACGUUAAUUAUUAUAUUUUGAUUUAAAUUAGAUAUCUUACAUAGAUAACCUCCGUAUAAUGUCAUUUUUGUCUCUAGUGUUCAAUGGACGUCUAGGUAUCUUAGACCAGUAAAUUAUUCUCAUCAAUUGUGACAAUUCCUUGUUCAAUUGUCAUUGAUUAAUUAGCUGAACAAGAGAACCUGUUCUCAAAUCAAACUAUGCAGAAAUGACAUUAUAGGGAUGAGAGAGUGACACGGUCAUCCUUUCUCCAAAGUACACAACUUUAUCUAUACCCAAAAAAAACCAGCUUCCAAGGUUCCCACGAUAAUAUUUUCAUUCUAAUAGCCACUAAAUGUGAUACCUAAAAAAUAUAAUAAGAAAAAGGAAUGAGCCACCACCACCCGGUGAGUAAUACAUUUCCUUUAAGCAAAUCAAACAAUCACUAUGUACAUUUAUAAAACCAUAUCAUAACUCAUUUACACCAAAUCCAAAAUAUAUCAAACUUACAAUCUUAUCAAAAUACAAGUCAAUGGUUCAUUCCAUCAAAUAAAGCUCGAGUAUCUAGCCAUGGUCAUGAAUAACACCCCGUGAUAAGGCAACCAAGAUUCCUCUAUUGAUUAGGUCUUCACCUAUUAUAAGCUAGAAGCUCGGCCCACAAAAAUAUCCUAGACUAGUAUGUGCAUAUCCACAACUAGUAUAUGCAAACCCGCACACUCCUCAACGGUUUUAUAAAGACAUUAAGCAUAAUCUAUCAGCCUCAAUCUCUAGAAAUCCACAAUCAAAAUUAGAAACCAUCUCCAACUCAAGUUUAAUAACCAAAUCACAACUUUUCACCAUCACAAUUCAAAUGUCAAUGGUCAAGUCCAUUGAUUAAUCUCUAUUAAAUCAUAACUUUUCACCAUUGAUUAUAUAUAUAUACCACAAUCCAUUUCAUAAACCAACUGACGAAUCAGUAUAUAACAUUUCAUAAACCAUAUUUAAAAUCAAGAACUUCUCGUGAGUCUUUCCUAAAAUGUUUCAUAAACCCAUUUGCAAGCAAUCAGUUUAAACUAUAGUCAAAAGAUAACAUUUCCACAUCUAAAACACAAAUGGUAGUAAAUGCUCAAUUAAAUUUAUGCAAGGAAUAUGCUCGUGCUUAACUCAUAACAUAACUAAACCAUUUCACUUUUGAAAUAUGAGUUUACAAACUCAAAGAAGAUAUGGUAUUACUCACUUGAGAAAAGCCCAAAAUCAACCUAUGGUGGUUACUUAAGCCGACGCACUUACAAUCCUAUCAAUUAUUCGAAAACCGAUAUUAAAAACCGAGUAAUACACAACUCCGAUGAACAACUUGACUAACCACGUUCAAUUGUUCAAUGUAUUGACUCCUAAGCGCUAUGAAGAACCUCAUUUAUGGCAUAUGUUUGUCUUUUGCCAUAACACAUAUUAUCUGUUACGUAUAACUUGCACGCAAAACUUGGAAAUUUCUGUCCAAACAAACCAUACUUCAAAAUCAAGUUUCGUCUAACCCCAAUGCUUCACAACGCCCUAGACUACUAUUUUCAUGAAAAUCAUAGCUCCAAAUACUCCUUAAUCGAACCUCGUAGUUCAAAAUUUACAUAACUCCAAAUUUGUGCCAUAACUUCCAAAAUUACUUCAAUUAGAUGAUGAUCGGCUUGAAUACUUACCAAGUGUAGCGAUUUGCAAUUGAUUUGGCUAGUCGAGGUGUCCAAAUUAGCUAUGCAUGAAAAAAAUUCCUUCUUUUUUCUUCUUCCCCUUAUUUCCUUCUUCAAGGUCGAGCUUCUCGUUCUUCUUCUUUUGCUUCUUCUGUCUACUGCCUUGACUUCAUGUGAGAUAAGUGUGGAAGAAUCAAUGAAUAUGGGCUGACUUUGUCCGUUAAAUACAUGGGUCUAAGCUUCAUGGGCCCAUGUUUUACAUCCACAUCAUAACGAGAAGCUAAGUAGCACCGACACUGACACGUGAGACGUGACACGACACGACACGACACGCUAACAUGUCGUUUUUGAAAAGUCAGAGAAUUCCGACAUGUUGGGACACGUUAUAUAUUAAAUAUAUAUUUUUAUAUAAUUAUCAUUUUUAUGAUUAUUUCAAUCAAAUUCAUAAAUAAAUAAAUAAAUAAAUAAAUAAGCCUUUAAUGAAUAUAUACUAAAAACAUUAAUCCGUCAUUUAUUAAUAUCAUUCAUUGUUUUAAUUUGACAAAUUCAACUCUAUUUCAAUAAUUCAUAAAACUUGGAGAAAAAACAAGCGAUCCAUAUUCUGGACUCGCGUGUUAGAUAUAUUGGAAGAGGAGAAAGAAAACUUAAGGAGUAAAUUGUGUAUUACGGGAAAUAGGAGUCAGAAGAGGAGAAAACUAGAUUUUUCUUCUUUCUCCAUUUAUUAUUUUCAUUAUUGUAUUUUAUUUUUUCACACACACACAUUGACAUCUCAUUUAUUGAAUUUUUAAAAUUAAUCUCGAUAUUGAAAUCACGUGUCGAAAACUCAUAUGUCAGAAUUCCAACUCGAGUGUCAAAGAGUGUUGAGAAAGUUGACCAGUUGUCAGAUUUUCUGAUACGCGUUGACCAAGUGUCAGAGAGUGUCGGACACAUGUCGAAGUGUCCGACACGACACGAAGGCUCUUGGAAAGUGUCGGUUCUUCAUAGACGAGAAGCGCACCCUCACGUCGUUGCAUGUGGUAGCGUUUGCCAAUCAGAGAACCAAAACUAAAUAUCUCCUAUGCAUGUCGUUAGGUGAUUAGUUUUUAUAUGAAUGCCCUAGAAACUAUCUUAUCUGGGUUGGUUUUCAAUUUUUGACCCCCGAAAUCGUCUCUCUUGACCCUAAAACAGGCUUAGAAUCGACCAGCUAGUUUCAGAGUCUAGUCGGGAAUUGGCCAAGGCAUUUUCUCUCUCAUUUUAUUAUACAUACAAUAUGCAUGUCCCAAGCAUGAAUAUGAUUCUUUCUGUUGGAUGAUAAAAUGUCAACCGUAUUCAAUUUCAAUAAAUAUUUUCUAUCUUAAAAAGGAGUAUAAUUACUUAGAAAUAAGGUAAACCAGUUUAAUUCUAGGUUCUUCCCCAUAACAGACCUUACAAAUUCUGGGUUUCCAUGUAAAACUGGCCUAUUUAAAGCAUGGAACUUGAAACCGAACCAGUCAAGACCAAUUCUCGAUUGAACCUAACACCUAACCAGUUAAGGCCAAUUCUCGAGUUGAAUCAAUCUAAUUGCUCACCCCAAGCAUGUUGCACUACUACUGAAUUUGGUUGCUAGCGUAGCUUGAAGAUGAAAUGCAAGUCGAAACCUCCCGUCUUCCAGAGAAGCCAACAAUUUUUUGGUAUUGGAAAUGCCAUUACGAACCAAAGACUGCAUUUUCCAACGCUGUAGAGUUGUUGGUACAAUGCUCGAUUUAUAUUACGAUCACCAUAAUCUCGCUAAUCACAUUAUCUACUCGGAUUCCGCGUUGUUUGCUUUUCCCUCCGUUUCUGGUCCAGGUUUACAUGUUGGGCACAAAAAUUACAACACAAUAAUCGAAGGUGACCCUGCGAGUUCUUUGUGGCAACCUUGCUGUUCUUUCUCCAAUCUGCAAACCACAUGCUAAGCCAGCCAAAUAUCCGCGGACAGACCGUCCUCAUUCGUCUGUUGCACAAUGCCUCAACUAUCGAGCCACUGUAUUCACCAGAGGGGGAAAAUGAUCUAUUCCUCUUCAAUUGGAACACGAGCAAUUACCAAGCUGAAGGCAUGUUCCUCCAAUUCAAGAGGUCUUCCAUCUCCAGCUGUGUUAGAGUAGCUACAGUGCCUUCACCAGUCUAGCAGGCCUUGCCGUGCUUGUGAAGCUAGCAUGCAUCCCUCGCGUCUCAUAUCAUACAGUUCACGGAAGGCUUCUUUAAUUGCCUAUAGCAGCCUAUUACUUUCCAUCAACCAAGAGCAAAUGCCCCAUUUUAGUUUAUACAAAAUGAUCAAGUAAUGGUUCAUAUCAGAGGAGAAGCGGGAUAUAGGUAAUGUGAAAAGUGCAUGAAAGUCAUACAUGUGCGACUGGGCCAUUAUACUUGAUACAGUCAAAUUGCUUUUGUCCAGUAGCUUUUACAUAGUUCCACGAGUACCAUCAGUCUAUAGUCCCAUUCUCUAAAUAAGAUUGAAGUCAGGAAAUAGUGUUAGGAUAAUAGGAGACAGGUUGUUUUACACGUUUUAAAAGGCCACAAAUCAAUCUCAUCAAUUAGCAAGAACAUGGAGGACGUGGAGGCAUGAUCUUAAUUUUUCACUAUUGUCUUCUCUUGCUGUAUCUUCAAAAACUAGAAACGAUCAAAACAAAAGACCAUAUAAAAGCUAUUAUCAUGAUCUCUCUCUUUCACAGAUCAAUCUCAUCAAUUAGCAAGAACAUGGAAGACAAGGAGGCAUGAUCUUAAUUUUUCACCACUUUCUUCUCUUACUGUAUCUUCAAAAACUAGAAAUGAUCAAAACAAAAAAAGACCAUAUAAAAACUAUUAUCAUGAUCUUUGAGUCUAAGAGAUUACACAGGUGUGGUGAUUAAAACUCAAACCUUAAAUGAGAAAGACAAGCAUGCCUAUUCCAUGAAAAACUUUCGCAAUAGCAGAUUAAUUACAAGCAAGCUUAGGUUGUUGUUAGACUCUGCCAACCUAAAAGAUCAGACUAAAGUGCUUUCUCGAGCCGAUAUUCAAUUUCAUGCCAAAACAUGAGGCUCAGUUUAAGUACACCGGAUUCUUUGAACAAUUAGAUCAUCCCCGGUGCUUUAACUAUGAGAAAGCUAAUCCAACAAGACAUGCGCUUUACACGCAUACAUCAAGCUUAAGUACACCGGAUUCUUUGAACAAUUAGAUCAUCCACAGUGCUUUUAAUAUGAGGAGGCUAUUCCAACAAGACAUGCACUUUACACGCAUACAUCACGCUGACUAGAAACUUUUCUCACAUUCCACAUACGUCGAUAAUCUAAAAUCAAUUGAUGUUCUUCAAUUACUCUUCUGAACAAAACAGAAGACAUGCUGUCUUCUAGCUCAGGAGGGAAAUGAGUCCCAUAGAAAGGAACUGAGAAGGUAAAUUCUCAAAACUGAUCAUCCGCGAGGAGUGCGGAGAAACUUAUGUCCUUCUGCAUACUAACAAGGGAAACACAAUCCGACCUGUGCUAGCAGAAGAAUUAUGUCCUUCCAAAGGAGAUUGAAGGAGGGAAGUCAAGUGACAAGCAAACAUGAAAGUUAGUGCAGUCAUUCCUUGUCCUUGUAAUCACACUCAUAUUGCAAGUACCAUCAUCCUUUAGAUUUACCAUUUAUAAGGGAAUGGAUACUUUCUCAAGAAGUAUCGAUAAAUCUGAUUCCAUUCUCAAAGUUUCAAGAGUGAAACUAUUGCCAAGAGAAUUAAAGAUUUUGACCACUAAUCACUUAGAUUUGCAAGAACUAUCUCAAAAUCAAUCACCUAUCAAAAAGUUAAAAAAGAUGCAAUUCGAUCACUCCAAAUCCCACGCAUCUGCACUGUGAUAAUCCGUCGCGCACUUCACUUUCCGGGCACAAAGUUGGUGGCGCAAGCCCAGGCAUUGUUGCUGCAGGGUCAGCAAGGUGAUCAGCCAGGUUCUCCAAUGGGCCUUUCCCUAUCACAAUGGCCUGGAUGAAGAACCCAGACAUGGAGAACAUGGCCGACCUCCCAUUUGUUUAUCUCCUUCACCUUCAGCCCUGCGAAAGCCGCCAUCCGUGAGGCCCAACGGAUCGAAGUUGCAGGUAGAUCGGUCCGUCAGCUCUUCGAGUGGGCCCCCCUGCGAACCUGUAUCCUUCCACUGCACCCAUUAGGAUUACCUACGUGGCCCAGAUGGCCAAGAUGUUGUGCAUCGAUCAGGCUCGUGUUCCCCAAAUAGUCCAACCCGCCCUCACUGAAUAUCUGUACACCAGCCUUAAACCAAACCGCCUCGCCAAACUUGACCCCAUUGCAGGACAAGCGCUCGGGGAAGAUGCACCCAAGGACGCUGAGCAUGGCCCACCUCGCAUGGAUGACCUCGAGCUCGUGGUUCUUGUCAGAGGUCUCCGGAUCAGCUCGAGCACACCUUUGAGCAGUGUGAACUGCGAACAUGCGAAUCUUAGGAGGAGAUGCCGUCUUAUGCGGAUUGAGAAAUGUAAAUCCCAUUCCAGCAAAUCAAUCUUCUUUUCUUGCUGCUCAACAAAUGAAAAUACCAACAGAAGCAAAAGACAGAUGAAAAGAAUAUAAUACUGAAUGAAGUAACUCAACACUUGGGAGUCAGAAUUAGAGAGAAAUGAGCAACAUUUCUUUCGAGCAUUAUGUCCAACUUGUCCAACUGCAGUAAUUAAGAAGUCAAUCACUUACAUUACAGUUUUUGAGUAUCCCUCAGAUUAAACUUAAUAAUUGAUCCAUCCCUUUGGCAGUGAACAUCAAAAAAUAUUGAGCAUCACUGAUUUCUCUUCCUUGCCUAUCUUAUGAGCAUGGUGGCUCAUAAAAACACCCAGCUUGAGUGCCUCCCUUCCUUCUUCAAGGGCUCUUUUUCUUAUAGCCGUUGUUAAACUAGCACCCCAGAGAGUGGCAUCACUGGUCUCUUUCUCACCUUCAGUUUCUUUUCAGCAUUGGAUCCAUCAUCUGCCACAUUGUCGCUACUUCGGUCUGCAUUCUCUACCAGUUUCAGUUGCAUCUAUGUACUCAAAAUCUUCUGGACUGCCACUUCCCCACCACUCAUUUGAGGUGACAUACAAGCCAUUCGAUGGAAAUCCAUACUUGAAUUCAUCCAAGACCGCCAGACUUUUUAUCAAGCUUCCACUAAUUACACUUUGGAUCUGCCCGCUUUGGCGUUGCUUACUUUCCGGCUGCUGCGAGCUACGAGGCAGUACCAUUCCCUGCACUUUCGAUGUAUUGCUGCUACUUUGGUGAUAAGACUUGCUGCAUCAACAAUAAAUUAAUAUAAAGACAUUUUUAAAUGAAUAUCCACAAAAAUUGCAUCUCCAGAAUAUGCAUUGUGACUCAGAACGAUAAUCAAUCGAAGGUGGGUAUAUUGUACAUGGAUAAUCUGGCCUGCUUCAGAAUAAAAUAUUGAUCAAGUUGCCAAACCGAUACCUACCUUUGUUUCCUUAUCUUCGACAUUAAAGCAAGGUCUCAGAUUCUAUAUCUAGAAGCUAGAUUCCCAACUUGUUUUACAUCCUCUGACAAAGAAUCUGCGACACAAGCCAGAAUUGCAUCAUCAGUGUGCACAGAGAUGCAAAACCUGCCUAAUACAGCCAUGAUCACCAUAUAUAUAUAUAUAUAUAUAGAGAGAGAGAGAGAUGGUAGGAUGAGAUAAGACAAUACAACAGACUGAAACGGCCAUGAUGUAUAAACAGUGUGCUGUAAGGCAAGUAACAUUGUGCAACAGCACCAUUCAGUUGCAUAAACACCCCAAAAGUCCUCUGCUCUACUUCCAUAAAACCAGUUGAGCUGAACACUUUAAAAGGAGUGUUUUUUUUUUUUUUGGUGAAAGUAAGUGAUAUAUUAGGAAAAUGUCAAACUGUACAACCCAACGGUUUCAAAAACUUACACUCAAGAUGGAUAUGCCCAUUCUAAGUGGAAGGAAGCUGAGGAAAAAACCAAGAGGCAGCCGAGAACGGCCAAAAAGCAAAAAGCAGACCAACACCUAGGAUGACCUAGAACAAGAUGCCUAGCUAGUCGGCCCACAAUCAGCGGAAGAGAAGAUACAGGGGUCCAACUCCCACAAGCGCUGAAUCCUCCUGUUUCUGUAGGAGUCCUCUGCGUCUUUGAAGGUAGCAGCCUUAUCUUUAACGACCUUGAGGAGAUGCCUCUUCAUGGCCAGAAGAGAAAGCAGCUCCCCCCUGAAAAUAAUAUUGUUCCUGUUCUUCCAAAUGAUGUGACAGAGCGCACCAAAAGAAAAACGGGCAAAUACUUUUGUAGAACUCCUUCCCGAGAGCAAAGAGAUAGCCCAACUAAGAGUCUCCUCCCAAGUCCUAUGGGUCCAAGGAAGAUUGCACCUAGCAGCCCAAAAGAAAGCAAUACUCAAAGUAAUGCGACAUCCAAAAAAGAGGUGAUCGAUAGAAUCAGGCACCUCGUUGCAAAAAGCACAGGAAGCAGCGUCAAUCCUACCAUGGGACAUGAGAAGAGACUGUGUAGACAGCCUUCGCUUGGUGAUUAGCCAAAGUUUAAGUUGAUAUCGAGGCAGGAUAGCAUUGCUCCAGAUGAACCGAUGCCAUCUGUCUCUCUCCUUCUUCCGCCUUAUGGUCUCCCAAGCCGAGGCAACCGAGAACACACCCGUCGAUUUCUAAAAGGAGUAUUUGAUGUUGACAAUUAUAGAAAAAUACCAACUUAUUUAUCAAGUCGAAAAUCUUUCCAACUCUAGAUGGGACUAGACCUUUUCAUAGGACCAGGGAAAUCAAAAUACCAUUUCCUCAGCUCUUUGACCUCAGCUAUAGGAAAUUAGUUGCAUUCUUAGGACAAGUGCGAAAUAUUCCCGGAUGCGUUUAUUUGAUGCAUCCAGCUCCAGCACGUACUCAAAUUCAUCGUUUUAGAAUUCACUAUCAACAAAUUUUUGGCUUUUUAUGCUCAAGUCAUUGGAACAUCUUUGCAUUUUCACAUACACAUUGUUGGAAUAUUUAAAUAUCAGUUUUCAUCUAAUAUUAUAAACUUUUGCUUUAGACUUUCUAUAUGGUAUCAAAGCGAGUUCAAAUCUUUCCAAACCCUCUAUUUGCCUCCCCAAUUAGGCCUAAGUCCACACUACGUAUGAGGGAGGAGUGUUAAAAUAUUUAGAUAUUAAACUACACAGUUAUCUAACUGCUAAAGCUUUUGGAUUGGACAAAAAAAAAAUUCCAUCAAAAAAUACUUCGCAUGUAUUUCCUUUCAAUCAAAAAUUACAAUUGAGAUAGAAUUGCAAAGUUUUCUCCUAAUACAGUGAGAUAUUGCAUAAUACCAUUUGUGACUAAACCAUAUUCCAAUCAUCAUCACCACUUCCAUAGUUUUGAAGUAGCGACCGUAGGCCAAUGCUCACACUUGGAGCAUCUUUCUUUACCACAACAAUUGGCACAGAGGAAGUAGCUGUCGUCAAUGAAUCUGUUCGCUUGUCUGAAAAUUUCUCAGAAAGUUUCCUCUUUCUGAGAGUACUGCUCAUUGAUUCAUCAUUAUUAGUUGAAGGUUAAGUCAAAUCUUCCUCCUCCUUAAAAUCUUCAUCUUCGAUCCUACGAACAAAAUCUUUGGAUGUAUGGAGUACAAUUGAUUUGAGAAGCACUUCAUCCUCUUCCUCCAGCUUAUUUUCCUUUGCUGCAGAUGUACCUUGUAGAACCUCCAAUAUUGCAUCUACGUCCACAGUUGCCUGUCUAGACUUCAUUGAUUUCAAUUCAUCAAGUCUAGCGAGAAUAUCCAUCUCUCUCUUGCUAUCAUGUGUCUGAUUCUCCAAGCUCUUCAUCGCAUCACCAUCUCUUUGGCCUACCUCCUUCUCAUUCUCCAUUACCUCAUCCUGCUUACGCCGGGGCUCAAAAUUUCUUAUCACUCCUAACUCUACAAUGUAAACCGAAUUCUGCAGAUCAGUUUUGAUUGUGAGCUCAGCAGAGCAGUUGGUGCAUUUGAAGUAAAAUCUGAAUAUCAGAAUCCCCAAAUAAGUCUAGCAUAUGACGACCUCCUUCAUGGAAUUGAACUUGGUCCCCUUGUAGAUUUAAUUCCCGCAGGUGUUGCAUCCGAUGCUCAUCAAAAGCAUCAUCCAAACCUUAAUCUGCUGACUUUUGGGCCUCCCCAACCUAGGCAGCUCCGAGGGGUCGAAGCCCGGCGGGUAAUAUUUUUUUAAACACCUUUCGUUCCCCCAUUUCUUCUUCUCUCAACUCCAAACCAAGACAACGAACGCUGACGCCACAAAAUCUCUGCCCCUCACUCUGAUCGACUAAUUUUUAAACAAAACGGUCGAAUUGAUUUCACUACCAGAAUGGUGUGGAACCCACAAGUUCUCGAUCUACUAACCUCGAUUAAGGUUCUAUGCUCGGAUCAAACCUUAAACCCCACGAAACCAUCCGAAACAAGCUGAAGAGCAGGAGAAAAAGGAGGAAACGAAAACUAACAGAGUCUGCUAAGGCGCGUAGGAGAUGACGAGCGUCCGUGGAAAAAAGGGGGAAAAAUCAGUCGAAGCUUCACUCACCUCGCGAUGCCGCCUCUUGCGCAGUAUAUUCAAUCUCGCCGGAGAUCAAACGGCGGCGCGAGGAUGUUCCAAGGGUGGCCGGAGGUCGGUGGUGGCGUGGCGUCUCAGGUGAUCGGCUUCGGGGAGGGAUGACGGAGUUAGGGGGGAAAUACAGAGAGAGCAAAAGCGGGCCGGAGAAAUUUCAAUUUUUGGAUAUUAGUAUUUAGUAAUUUCUCUGUUUAAUUAGUAAUUUUCAGUUAAUAACUUCCUCCUCUAACAAGUAAAUAUGCAGAUAAUGAUGUGGCUCGAAAUUAAUAAUAUAUGUGCACGGUGGACACCUUAACUUUUACAAAAUUGCAAUGACAUUUUUAGCUCGAUAACAGAAGUCUUGAAAUUUCAUCCGUUUUUUAAACUCAUGAUAUCAAAUAAAUUACUCAUAAAUAAAUUUAAAUAACAAUGUAAAAUGACUUUUUGAGCUGUUUAAAGAUUCAUUAAGUAUGAAUAUCAUUCUUGAGUUUUUAACUUAUUUAUAAAUAAAUCUGAAUUACUUCGAGGAUAUAUUACAAUCUAUGAAUUAAUAUAUGUGACAAUUCGAAUAACUUGAGAAAAUUGCUAGUGUGGAAAAUCUGAGUGUCCGGAAUUUAUUAACAGUGAUUCGAGAAAACAAGAUUAUGGGUUCUUAAAUUACGUAAAGAUUCGCAGCAGAAGGUUUGAUGCAUCCAAUGGCAAUACAUAAGACAAAUUUGAACAAAAUAUUAAAAGCAAAAUGUAUAAUACAUGCCUUCUUGAUAUUACAAAGUUCAAAAAAUCAAAUUCAGCAGAACAAAAAAAUCUUAUACAGCAUUUGACAGGGAAAGAGGAGGUGUCAAGUUGACAGUAUAGACAAUGAACGACCCUCUUGUGCAAGUUCAUGCAGCACAAAGGAGGGGAAAAUCACAUCUGAAGACGGUAGCGAGGGACGUGAGCUAUCUGAGUUCCCAUCCUAAUGAGGAGGCCUUAUGCUGUCUUCUCUUUCCUUCCAGCCAGAAUCAUCGAAAUCUGAAGGCCUCUGCUGAAUGCUUGGUUGAAGAGGAGCCGGAUUUGGAACUCCGAAACGAAGGGGAACCACGACAGAACCGCGAUCGGCAUGAACAGCAACAACCCCAUUGUGUAUUCGUACGCCCUCGCCAGCUCCUUCAACGAAUCCCAGAGU